AGCAGGUCCCAAGGGUAUGGCUGUUCGCCAUUUAAAGUGGUACGCGAGCUGGGUUUAGAACGUCGUGAGACAGUUCGGUCCCUAUCUGUCGUGGGCGUUGGAGAUUUGAGAGGAGCUACUCCUAGUACGAGAGGACCGGAGUGGACGUUCCGCUGGUGUUCGGGUUGUCAUGCCAAUGGCAUUGCCCGGUAGCUACGAACGGACAGGAUAAGCGCUGAAAGCAUCUAAGCGCGAAGCCCCUCCCAAGAUGAGAUCUCACUGGAUAUUUAAUAUCCCUGAAGGGCCCUUGGAGACUACAAGGUUGAUAGGUCAGGUGUGGAAGCACAGUAAUGUGUGUAGCUAACUGAUACUAAUUGCCCGUGAGGCUUGACCAUAUAACACCCAAUGAGUUUGU
rnacentral:rRNA from 1 species